rnacentral:lncRNA from 1 species
UUCCCCGCACGGCUGGUCUGAGAUCGUGGGGAAAAGUCGAGUCUGGCCCGUGUGCCCCAGCCGCGAUCCCCGUUCCACCGCCGCGUGCCCUGCCCGUCCGUGUGACACAUCUCCCGAGCCUGUUGCCGUGCCCAGAUGCAGAGGUGUCUGCGAUGCGAGUGGCGUGUCAGCGCGUGUUCUUUGUCCUUGAGACUAACGAGUAUCCUUGGCACUCACAUGGAUGAAGAGCAUGAGAAAAUAAUCAUGAAACUGAUGGGGCUUCCUCAUCUCAGGAAGACCCAAGUCCUGGAAAGAACGAAGCUAUGAAGCAUUGACUGAAGAUAUUUUGCCUUUUCAGGCUGAGAGUCUCACAGCAAGAGGGCUGAGCCUGAUUGCUCUUCAGCCUUCACAUGCCAUAAAUACAAUUUGGGAUGGAGAAUGAGUUUCUGACAACUGGAUGUGGAGUUAUCUUCAAGUCUUACACAAAUUGACAAUCAGGUUCUGAAAGCAAGAGCAGCAUCCCAAUUUCUGCAGUGCCUCAGUGCCUAAGUGGAACCACUAAAAAAUGAUCUCUGUGUGACACCAAUGGAUUGGUUUAUCCAUUUGUCU